rnacentral:rRNA from 1 species
GGAGCUUGCUCCACCGAAAGAAAAAGAGUGGCGAACGGGUGAGUAACACGUGGGUAACCUGCCCAUCAGAAGGGGAUAACACUUGGAAACAGGUGCUAAUACCGUAUAACACUAUUUUCCGCAUGGAAGAAAGUUGAAAGGCGCUUUUGCGUCACUGAUGGAUGGACCCGCGGUGCAUUAGCUAGUUGGUGAGGUAACGGCUCACCAAGGCAACGAUGCAUAGCCGACCUGAGAGGGUGAUCGGCCACACUGGGACUGAGACACGGCCCAGACUCCUACGGGAGGCAGCAGUAGGGAAUCUUCGGCAAUGGACGAAAGUCUGACCGAGCAACGCCGCGUGAGUGAAGAAGGUUUUCGGAUCGUAAAACUCUGUUGUUAGAGAAGAACAAGGAUGAGAGUAGAACGUUCAUCCCUUGACGGUAUCUAACCAGAAAGCCACGGCUAACUACGUGCCAGCAGCCGCGGUAAUACGUAGGUGGCAAGCGUUGUCCGGAUUUAUUGGGCGUAAAGCGAGCGCAGGCGGUUUCUUAAGUCUGAUGUGAAAGCCCCCGGCUCAACCGGGGAGGGUCAUUGGAAACUGGGAGACUUGAGUGCAGAAGAGGAGAGUGGAAUUCCAUGUGUAGCGGUGAAAUGCGUAGAUAUAUGGAGGAACACCAGUGGCGAAGGCGGCUCUCUGGUCUGUAACUGACGCUGAGGCUCGAAAGCGUGGGGAGCGAACAGGAUUAGAUACCCUGGUAGUCCACGCCGUAAACGAUGAGUGCUAAGUGUUGGGAGGGUUUCCGCCCCUUCAGUGCUGCAAC